rnacentral:rRNA from 1 species
GACAGAGGGUGCAAACGUUGUUCGGAAUUACUGGGCGUAAAGCGCGUGUAGGUGGCGAGGCAAGUCGGGUGUGAAAGCCCUGGGCUCAACCCAGGAAGUGCACUCGAUACUGCCUAGCUAGAGUCCCGGAGAGGUUGGUGGAACUCUCGGUGUAGAGGUGAAAUUCGUAGAUAUCGAGAAGAAACACCGGUGGCGAAGGCGGCCAACUGGACGGUGACUGACACUGAGACGCGAAAGC